rnacentral:rRNA from 1 species
GCAACGACUCUCGGCAACGGAUAUCUCGGCUCUCGCAUCGAUGAAGAACGCAGCGAAAUGCGAUACUUGGUGUGAAUUGCAGAAUCCCGUGAAUCAUCGAGUCUUUGAACGCAAGUUGCGCCCGAAGCCAUUAGGUUAAGGGCACGCCUGCCUGGGGGUCACGC